rnacentral:rRNA from 1 species
AUUGAACGCUGGCGGCAUGCUUUACACAUGCAAGUCGAACGGUAACAGGUCUUCGGAUGCUGACGAGUGGCGAACGGGUGAGUAAUACAUCGGAACGUGCCUAGUAGUGGGGGAUAACUACUCGAAAGAGUAGCUAAUACCGCAUGAGAUCUACGGAUGAAAGCAGGGGACCUUCGGGCCUUGUGCUACUAGAGCGGCUGAUGGCAGAUUAGGUAGUUGGUGGGGUAAAGGCUUACCAAGCCUGCGAUCUGUAGCUGGUCUGAGAGGACGACCAGCCACACUGGGACUGGGACACGGCCCAGACUCCUACGGGAGGCAGCAGUGGGGAAUUUUGGACAAUGGGCGAAAGCCUGAUCCAGCAAUGCCGCGUGCAGGAUGAAGGCCCUCGGGUUGUAAACUGCUUUUGUACGGAACGAGAAGCCUGGGGCUAAUAUCCCCGGGUCAUGACGGUACCGUAAGAAUAAGCACCGGCUAACUACGUGCCAGCCGCCGCGGUAA